rnacentral:rRNA from 1 species
GUACACGCUGUGACUAGCAUAUCAAUAAGCGGAGGAAAAGAAACUAACAAGGAUUCCCCUAGUAACGGCGAGUGAAGCGGGAAGAGCUCAAAUUUGAAAUCUUAAAGGGUUUCCCUUUACGAAUUGUAGUUUAAAGAAGUGUUUUCUGUUGAGGUUUUGGUAAAAGUUCUUUGGAAUAGGACAUCAUAGAGGGUGAGAAUCCCGUAUUUGACCUUUACUUUCAACUUUGUGAUACACUUUCAAAGAGUCGGAUUGUUUGGGAAUGCAGUCCAAAAUGGGUGGUAAAUUUCAUCUAAAGCUAAAUAUUGGCGAGAGACCGAUAGCGAACAAGUACCGUGAGGGAAAGAUGAAAAGAACUUUGAAAAGAGAGUUAAACAGUACGUGAAAUUGUCAAAAGGGAAGCGUUUGACACCAGUGUUGUUUUUCUGAAAAUCAAUUAAAGAACUGUUUAUGCUAAGCUGUUUAGACUUUAUCAGCUAUACUGUUUAGUUUUGAGCUUUUCUUUAAUGCACUUUUCAGUUAACAAGUCAACAUCAAUUUCUUUUGCUGUAAAAAGCUUGAGGAAGGUGGCUUGAGAUUCGUCUUAAGUGUUUAUAGCCUCUUGCCUAUGCAGUCGGAGAGAUUGAGGUCUGCAGCGUAGAUCCUUCGGGGCUAAAUGCAUUUGUGCUAAGUUAUAACAUUUUAUAGACAACUUGUUGACUAUGAUUUGUCUUGUAGCUUACUCGCUUAUGUUAUUUUACCUACGCUUAGGAUGUUGACGCGCGUGUGUGCGUG